rnacentral:lncRNA from 1 species
AAAAUGAAGGAGGUCAAGCUAAUCUGCAUACUCUUUGCUAAUACUCAAACAAAGAUCUACACAUAUUAUUACAUGCAUUCUUAUAUCAUCAACAAAACUAACAGUACAUAUGGUUGCUUAAGUUCAACCGCGAGCUACUUGCAGCAUCAAGAAGCGCUUGAAUUGGGCUACAAGCAUGCACUCUUCUGGGAAUCUUUGGGCGGAACAAAGAUGACCUAAAGGAAAACAAGAUGAACAUCACGGGGAACUCUCAAGAAAUAGUGCG